CCUUACUGCAACACUGCGCAUGUACCUUUGCGUUUCCCUUUGCUUGCUCCCAAGUUUGAUUUUAGUCUACGGUUCAGUUAAAAAAUACUGGUUUAGUGCCUAUUGUCAGACACGGUGUACAGGCUGAGGCUACAGACCUCACCAUCUGCGUGGACAAGUAAUAAAUAAGAUUCUGAAGAGAUUCUGGAGCUGAAAGUACUGGUUCUACAUCCUGGUCACUGAGAGGUAAAGGGUCACCUGAUGACUCCAGCAUCUGCUUAAGUCCAACUACAUUGUCCAACAAAGAAUCCAGAUUGUCGUCAUCUUUUGAAUGCUCC